rnacentral:lncRNA from 1 species
GGUUUAGUUAAUGUAGCUGUACCAGAUAAUUUGAAAAAUUCUACCAGUAUUUUGAAGGGAGAGAUUGCCUUCAUGAAACAACUACAGAAAUGGUUGGGAGAGAAGGGAGAGAAGUGUAAAUGGAAUCUUUGUUACAGAGCUUCCAGAGAUGGUUGGAGUGCCCAAGAUUUUCACAAACAUUGUGACAAUAAAGGACCGACAGUUGUUUUAGUGAAAGCCAAUGAUUGUAUUUGUAGAGGAUACACUGACCGACACUGGGAAUCUUCAGGUACUGUACGCUAUGUAAGAAAAGAUUUAUAUAUUAACAGUUGCAUCAUUUAUGAGAGCUAUAUAUUUGUCCUGCAAACUGGUUUAAUUAAACUGUUCCUCUUGUUAGACGGGAAUUUCGUGCGUUCCAUGUGAACGCAUAUAUAAGGUAUUGUCGUGAAAUUGAGAGUAUGGUUCAAAAUCCUUCCCGUCCCAUGUGAACCGGGGACGAUUGUGUCAAAAUCAUCCCGAUCAUAUCCAAAAGUAAAUAUUGCAGUAACUAUUAAAUAUUUUAUUAAACUUUAAUCAUUAAUAAAACACAAAACAAUAGACACUCCAAAAAUUGUAAACAUUUUCAUUCUUUACGUUUCGACUAUUAUCUAAACAUUUUCAUUCUUUACGUUUCGACUAAGUCAUCUUCAGAAGAAAAAAAUCAAAUAUUCAUCUUUCUAUUGUUUUGUGUUUUAUUAGAAUACUCUAUGGCAACCGUAAUUUUUAAUCAUUAUUCAUUAAUUUUGUUCAAUUUUAAGGUUGUGCUUGGAAACGUUCCAACUCGUCAUUUUUAUUUUCCCUGCGCAAUAAAGACAACCUUGCUCCAUUUAUUGCCAACAUCAAGCAAGGUAAGGAGCAGAAUGCAAUCUACUGUUCCUCUGGUGAUGGACCGUUCUUUGGUGCAGGUUAUGAUGUGCGUAUUUGGAACAAUCCUCAAGUUAAUCAAUCAUGCAGCAAUUUUGGACACACAUAUCAACUUCCCCCUGGUUAUGUCUAUAACAAUGAACAAGCAAAGAACCUUCUUGCUGGUCAGUACCAAUUCUUAACGACAGAAAUUGAAGUUUUCUACUGAAAACGUACUGUCCUCAUUUACGAACAUUUUACUCAUUAUAACGAAAAAUAGCAUUACAUUGAUCAUCCCACCGGUCUUAGCAAAGCGUUUUAGGCAGUGAUAUUGUAAUACUAUAAAGUAUCAAGAAUUAAUAUAAAUAUUUUAAGUCAUGUAUUCCUAGGAAUCUUAAAAAUUAAAAUUGGUCAUAAGCCUCACAGUAGCAGUUACUGGAGUCAACAAAUGAAAUCGAAAAAGUAACAAUACUUAAUUGAUCACCGCUGGCGCUAGCUGUAACAGUCAGUUUUUCACAGUGGUAAUACGUGACGUUAACUGCAAUACUGUUACCCUGGUUCCAGGCGAGAAUGAGGAAGCCUCUGGUCACAUCGAUUGCAAAUCCCACUUCCACACUUGAUUAGGUUCAGAAUUUGAAUCUCGCAUGUGAUUGGCC